AUUUCAUUAUGUGUAUAAAUAAGAUUGAAUUUAAAAUGAAUGCUUUAAAGAAAAUAUUAAUCUCUAAAACUCAGAAUCAGAUAAAAUCACAGGCUGGAAAAGGUCAGCCACUGCCCAAAUCUCCCAUGGACUUUAAGGAGCAUCAGUUCAGGCCCCACUGCUGAGAUCAUCAGACCUUGAUUUUAAGCUAUUAUUUGGAAAAAGUUGAAAAUUUUGUCAAAAAAAAAAAAAAAAAAUCAAGCAAACAAACAAAAAAAAUACACACUUGCAUUAGUAGUAUCUGCUCUAGCACUUUUCUGCUUUUCAUUAUAACCAGUCGGUUCUUAUGCAGGAGAAAAGCCAAGUUAGAGAGCCUGAGAAAGAGAGCAAAAUAAUUCCAGAGAAACUUUCUCAUUAUCCAAUGUUUUCCCUCCCACACAGAAGAGUGCAAUCCCAGAUGCCCUCAAUUCUUAGAAAUGAGUAGAAAAAGAAGAAAAAGCUGCAAGGGCAGAAAGAGCUCUGAUUCCAGAGAAUAUGAACAGUUGUCACCCAUUUGUAAAUGCCAGCAAAAUGUAGGAAGCCUUGAAAAUAAAACAGAUGAGGCUCUGGCUCACUUCACAGAGCCAUUGGAUGCAAAGGGUAUUGAAGAAGAUGGAAAAGAUCAUGAAAACAAGAAUCAGAGUAACUCAGGCGCAUCUGAAGACAAAGACCAUGAUAAUGUAUCAGACAGCGAAAAAGAAGGAAAGAAAGAAAAGAACUACCCUCCUCAAAUGUUCUCUCCUCAGCAAGAUGAAAUCCUGACUACGGUAACUUUUGGUGAAUCAGAGGGCUCAUCCACAGGAAAAAUUACAGUAUGGGGCAAGCCAGACCCUGCAGAGCUCGUUAGGUCAACUGCUGGGAAAAUUACUGCAGAAGUAAAAUGUGCUUCUUUCAGUGUGAAAAUAGAAAUUAAGAAUGUUUCUUUGUUUGAUUCUGGAAUAAACCUUGCAGCUGGAAAACAGAAAAGUUCAAAGAACAAUAAACAUUGUCAUGAAGGGCAAUACCAGAAAAACCAAGGUUCAAAAUGUUCAAAGAACCAGUGUCUUUUAACUGACCACUCAGCAGAACACAGUGAGCAAUGUAAGGGAUCCUCUAAACAUAAAAUUCACACUGACGUCAACAAAAAUGCCUCCCUGAAAUUGAGCACUGACACAAAGGAAAUUGAAGUGGAAAUUGCCAGCAGAAAGCAAAAUCUAAAAGUCAGCAUCAAACCUGGUGAACAGGCACAGAACAAACCCUGCAACAGGGAACACGAAAACAUGUAUUGGAUUGAAACAGAUUAUUCUGUAACAGAGGCACCUUGCAAUACAGAUUGUGAGACAUCUUUUAGCUUUUGUGAAAAAGUAGGCUAUACAUUCCCAGAUGGAUGUACACUUCUCCCUCCACCUGAAGAAUUUGCUGACUGUGACAAAAUGCAUUUGGAUACAAUUGCAGAGAGAGUAUCUUUGUGCCCUAUUAGUGACAGAAAGGAAUCUGACAGCCUCCCUCCAGCCUUGAAAAAUUUCGAGGAAGAAAGCUAUUUCUGUAAACGUAACAAAAAGGACUGUGGAGACCACAGCAGUGAAAAGGAAGAUUUUUCAAAAGACAAAAUACUUUUCCCAAAAAUAAAUAAUACAAAUUGUCUUGUAGCUAGUAAUAGAUGGAAUAACCCAAACUCUGGAAAGGAGAAUAUCAGUAAGAACAAUAUAUUAGGUCAAAAAAUAAAAAACUGUGAUAACUGUAGAAAUACAGGGCAAAAACCAGGAAGAAGAAAGUCUUUUCCAGAUACUUCCUUUGACAUACCAUCACCAGCACACCCUAGAAGGGAUUCUGGAUUUUAUUCAUUGCCAUCCUUAAAAGUAUUUCCUAAGGAGAUCAAAGCAGAUGUUAAUAACAAGAACUCACUUGUUCACCCCAGCUAUACAGAACUUGGUAAGUGUCCUGACUUGACCUCCUCACUGAGAAGCCUCCGAGGUCUUAAGUCUUCAUAUCAUUAUGCUUUCACAUCAUUUGAUCAUGAUAUUAUCAUUUAUACACCUGAACCUGAGGAAAGUCUAGGUGACACUUGUUUACUGAAUGACUCUGUAGGCUAUGUGGGGCAGGGUGAAGAAACUCUAAUGGAGAGUCUGCAUUCCAGUGGUAUUGUAAAUAAGAAAAAAGAAAAUGGGCAUGAAGAACCUCUGAGAAACCUGGCCAUAUGGGAGGAAGACUCUGAGUCUACUGAAGAUGCUUUAGAUGAAGGGACACCAGAGUACAACCAUCUGGAAAAGCACAUUGAAUUGCAGAACAAAGCUCAGCUGGUACAGGUCUCUCCAUGUUCUAGAAGCCCUUCAGGUGAAUGUAUUAAUGAUAAGGAAAGUACUAAUUAUACAUCUACAGAAUGUGCACAAAACCAGCUUUCAGGUUUAUACCCACCCACUGCAGAGACUGAGGUAGCAAAGAAAAGGAGAGGGUCAGUAAUGACUGUGAUAACUGGAGGACUAGAAAGAAGACUUGUCCAAGGCGAGACUAAAUUGAUACCUGAUUCUUUUGGCUCUGCAGUGAGAAAAGAGCCUAAAAUUCCCUGUAGUAUGGAUGAAAAGUCCUUGCUGUCAUCCUUGUUAUUAUAUCCUGAGGAGCAUGACAUUAAUAAUGAAUCAGAAAGCUUUUCUGAGACACAGGACGUAUCUGUGAAUAUCCUGGUUGACUCCAAUUGCCAUAAUGAUUCAUCAGCAGAUAACAUUUUAUCUACAUCUUCAGCAUAUACAGAAAACAAGGAGAAUUUCACAGAACAUUCAAAUGCAAAGGAAAGACCAGAGAACAUUUGCUGUAAACAGUCAACUGAUGAUAGCUUCUGGGGAGAGCCUGGAGCACAUCAACUACAUCAGUUUGCCAAAUCCAGCUCUAAUGAAGUUGAGAGAAAGACUGAAAUGAAACAAGAAUUUCAUCAGAAUGCAGAUAUCCCCCCAUCAUCAGUAAAACAUAUUAGUCAGAAAGACUUGAAAUCAGAAAUGAAUAAAACCAGAAAGCUACCUUUGAUGAAAGACACCAGAGCCAGUGAUAGUUCCCAGGAAGAAGCAAUAGACCAGUGGGCCAGAAGACGGAAACAGUUCAAAGACAGCAAAAAAUGCAGUUCAACUGGAGGAAGCUCCAUAAACAGCACAAUCACUGAGGGAUCAAAUGGAGUCCCCAAGCAAGGAUUGCAGUCUAGGAGAGAACAUAUGGGGUACUUCUUACUUCACAGCAUCUUUGCCUCCUGUUUUGCUAUUUUAGUAAUGUAAGAAGUACCAGGAAGUACUUUGUGAAGAUCAAGAAAUGUGCACUUCCUUGUGGAAAUAUUUUGUGAUAUAAUGGUUACAUUUGGUGUGGAAGCUUUAUUUAUAGGUGUAAAGUCUCCUUUUUAAAGAAGGUUAAAUGCAAACCUAUAGAAGACUUCAGUGCAGGUCCAGUACAAGAUAACUGUAAAUAUGUUCUAUUCCUGUACUGAAGGUCCUACAUCAGCAGGGUCUCAAUUCACUAUCUAAACAUAGGUGUCAGUUACCAGCUGAAAUACCUAUAGGGAUCUGAGAUAUGUGACUACCACAGACCAUGCCUUUUUGAAGCAGUAACUGGAUGGUGAGAUACACUAAGGCCUCUAAUAUGGUACUAGCCACCUAUGUUCAGAUAACUGAGUCAAUCCGUCAGUUUUUAAUGCCUGUUAACAAAGCAGCAGUGAUGACUGACACUUCAUGUGGAAAAGAAAAAGCUGUUUAUUGGUAGCAGUUUGCAUUCUUUGCCCCUAAGACAGGUUCAAGCUGACAGCAAAUUGAGAAAUUUACCCUUUCAAACCACCAGAGCUGAAACAAACUCUCAAGGGAUAUAUACACCAGGAUAAACUGUUUGUUGAUUCCAACAGUAAUUUCUGGACUGCCAAGGUGGUGCAUGAAUUUUACUACAUGAGACACCCACUGGUUUCAUAGAGAAAAUAUGUUAAAA
rnacentral:lncRNA from 1 species